UGGGGAAUUUUGGACAAUGGGCGAAAGCCUGAUCCAGCAAUGCCGCGUGUGUGAAGAAGGCCUUCGGGUUGUAAAGCACUUUUGUCCGGAAAGAAAUCCUUGGCUCUAAUACAGUCGGGGGAUGACGGUACCGGAAGAAUAAGCACCGGCUAACUACGUGCCAGCAGCCGCGGUAAUACGUAGGGUGCAAGCGUUAAUCGGAAUUACUGGGCGUAAAGCGUGCGCAGGCGGUUUGCUAAGACCGAUGUGAAAUCCCCGGGCUCAACCUGGGAACUGCAUUGGUGACUGGCAGGCUAGAGUAUGGCAGAGGGGGGUAGAAUUCCACGUGUAGCAGUGAAAUGCGUAGAGAUGUGGAGGAAUACCGAUGGCGAAGGCAGCCCCCUGGGCCAAUACUGACGCUCAUGCACGAAAGCGUGGGGGAGCAAAACAGGAUUAGAUACCCUGGUAGUCCACGCCCUAAACGAUGUCAACUAGUUGUUGGGGAUUCAUUUCCUUAGUAACGUAGCUAACGCGUGAAGUUGACCGCCUGGGGAGUACGGUCGCAAAGAUUAAAAACUCAAAUGGAAUUGACGGGGUCAUAGCUGUUUCCU
rnacentral:rRNA from 1 species